rnacentral:rRNA from 1 species
CCCUUAGAGUUUGAUCCUGGCUCAGGAUGAACGCUAGCUACAGGCUUAACACAUGCAAGUCGAGGGGAAACGACAUCGAAAGCUUGCUUUUGAUGGGCGUCGACCGGCGCACGGGUGAGUAACGCGUAUCCAACCUGCCCACCACUUGGGGAUAACCUUGCGAAAGUAAGACUAAUACCCAAUGAUAUCUCUAGAAGACAUCUGAAAGAGAUUAAAGAUUUAUCGGUGAUGGAUGGGGAUGCGUCUGAUUAGCUUGUUGGCGGGGUAACGGCCCACCAAGGCGACGAUCAGUAGGGGUUCUGAGAGGAGGGUCCCCCACAUUGGAACUGAGACACGGUCCAAACUCCUACGGGAGGCAGCAGUGAGGAAUAUUGGUCAAUGGACGAGAGUCUGAACCAGCCAAGUAGCGUGCAGGAUGACGGCCCUAUGGGUUGUAAACUGCUUUUAUAAGGGAAUAAAGUGAGUCUCGUGAGACUUUUUGCAUGUACCUUAUGAAUAAGGACCGGCUAAUUCCGUGCCAGCAGCCGCGGUAAUACGGAAGGUCCGGGCGUUAUCCGGAUUUAUUGGGUUUAAAGGGAGCGUAGGCCGGAGAUUAAGCGUGUUGUGAAAUGUAGACGCUCAACGUCUGCACUGCAGCGCGAACUGGUUUCCUUGAGUACGCACAAAGUGGGCGGAAUUCGUGGUGUAGCGGUGAAAUGCUUAGAUAUCACGAAGAACUCCGAUUGCGAAGGCAGCUCACUGGAGCGCAACUGACGCUGAAGCUCGAAAGUGCGGGUAUCGAACAGGAUUAGAUACCCUGGUAGUCCGCACGGUAAACGAUGGAUGCCCGCUGUUGGUCUGAAUAGGUCAGCGGCCAAGCGAAAGCAUUAAGCAUCCCACCUGGGGAGUACGCCGGCAACGGUGAAACUCAAAGGAAUUGACGG